AACUGAGGUAGAUAGAGCGAAAAAUUAUUCAAAAUUAACAACGACCGUAUUGACUGCUAUGUUUGAUCGAGAAACAUUGCAAAAAUCAUCUUUAGCUGGGAAGAAAAAUAAUGGUGAACAACUUGAUCAAACUAAAGUUCAGGUGAUAAUAGGUAUGUUUGACAUAAUAAUUAAUUAGUUUUAACUGGCAUCAUGACUCUCCCCGUUGACGAGUGAGAUUGUCUUGUGUUAAACAGGGUAAAGCAACAAAGUAAUGCGCACUUAUGCCAAUUGAUAUUAUUUUCUUUUUGAUUAGCGUAUGUGAGCCAUAUGUUUCCUGGAGCUGAAAACCGGCAAUAAGAAAUGCGAUAAGCCAGAAAGUAAAGGAUGAACGGAUGGCUUGUAAAAGAUGAACUUGCUAAGUGUUUUAUAUAUUAAAUAGUUAAAAAUUAUGGAUAUAGGCUUUACUAGCAACUUUUAAUGAACCUUUUUGAAAUUCGUCACACACGCUUUAAAUAGUAAGUGUACUAUAUAUAGCUAUAUUUCGACCAGUUUUUGGAAAUAGUAUUGUAAAUAGAUGUAUAACUAAUUAUAUUUAGCAC
rnacentral:lncRNA from 1 species